rnacentral:lncRNA from 1 species
AUGGGACAGGUAUUCGUAUGUUUGUCACAACAUGUGCACACACCUUUGAGGAGAGUAUUGCCCUUUAAAGAGUUUGUUUUUAGAACACAGUCAGGUAGGGUCCCUUUAAAGAGUAUGUUUUUAGAACAGUCAGGUAGGUGCCCUUUAAAGAGUAUGUUUUUAGAACACAUAGGUGCCCUUUAAAGAGUAUGUUUUUAGAACACAGUCAGGUAGGUGCCCUUUAAAGAGUAUGUUUUUAGAACACAGUCAGGUAGGUGCCCUUUAAAGAGUAUGUUUUUAGAACACAGUCAGGUAGGGUCCCUUUAAAGAGUAUGUUUUUAGAACACAGUCAGGUAGGUGCCCUUUAAAGAGUAUGUUUUUAGAACACAGUCAGGUAGGUGCCCUUUAAAGAGUAUGUUUUUAGAACACAGUCAGGUAGGGUCCCUUUAAAGAGUAUGUUUUUAGAACACAGUCAGGUAGGUGCCCUUUAAAGAGUAUGUUUUUAGAACACAGUCAGGUAGGUUCCCUUUAAAGAGUUUGUUUUUAGAACAGUCAGGUAGGUGCCCUUUAAAGAGUAUGUUUUUAGAACACAGUCAGGUAGGGUCCCUUUAAAGAGUAUGUUUUUAGAACACAGUCAGGUAGGUGCCCUUUAAAGAGUAUGUUUUUAGAACACAGUCAGGUAGGUGCCCUUUAAAGAGUAUGUUUUUAGAACACAGUCAGGUAGGUUCCCUUUAAAGAGUUUGUUUUUAGAACAGUCAGGUAGGUGCCCUUUAAAGAGUAUGUUUUUAGAACACAGUCAGGUAGGGUCCCUUUAAAGAGUAUGUUUUUAGAACACAGUCAGGUAGGUGCCCUUUAAAGAGUAUGUUUUUAGAACACAGUCAGGUAGGUGCCCUUUAAAGAGUAUGUUUUUAGAACACAGUCAGGUAGGGUCCCUUUAAAGAGUAUGUUUUUAGAACACAGUCAGGUAGGGUCCCUUUAAAGAGUAUGUUUUUAGAACACAGUCAGGUAGGUGCCCUUUAAAGAGUAUGUUUUUAGAACACAGUCAGGUAGGUGCCCUUUAAAGAGUAUGUUUUUAGAACACAGUCAGGUAGGUGCCCUUUAAAGAGUAUGUUUUUAGAACACAGUCAGGUAGGUGCCCUUUAAUGAGUAUGUUUUUAGAACACAGUCAGGUAGGUGCCCUUUAAAGAGUUUGUUUUUAGAACAC